AGCGAACGCUGGCGGCAGGCCUAACACAUGCAAGUCGAACGAACUCUUCGGAGUUAGUGGCGGACGGGUGAGUAACACGUGGGAACGUGCCUUUUGGUUCGGAAUAACUCAGGGAAACUUGUGCUAAUACCGAAUGUGCCCUUCGGGGGAAAGAUUUAUCGCCAUUAGAGCGGCCCGCGUCUGAUUAGCUAGUUGGUGAGGUAACGGCUCACCAAGGCGACGAUCAGUAGCUGGUCUGAGAGGAUGACCAGCCACACUGGGACUGAGACACGGCCCAGACUCCUACGGGAGGCAGCAGUGGGGAAUCUUGCGCAAUGGGCGAAAGCCUGACGCAGCCAUGCCGCGUGAAUGAUGAAGGUCUUGGGAUUGUAAAAUUCUUUCACCGGGGACGAUAAUGACGGUACCCGGAGAAGAAGCCCCGGCUAACUUCGUG
rnacentral:rRNA from 1 species